rnacentral:rRNA from 1 species
UACGAAGGGGGCGAGCGUUGCUCGGAAUUACUGGGCGUAAAGCGCACGUAGGCGGAUUGUUAAGUCGGGGGUGAAAUCCUGGAGCUCAACUCCAGAACUGCCUUCGAUACUGGCGAUCUCGAGUUCGGGAGAGGUGAGUGGAACUGCGAGUGUAGAGGUGAAAUUCGUAGAUAUUCGCAAGAACACCAGUGGCGAAGGCGGCUCACUGGCCCGAUACUGACGCUGAGGUGCGAAAGCGUGGGGAGCAAACAGGG